rnacentral:rRNA from 1 species
AACGCAGGGGGCGAGCGUUAUCCGGAAUCACUGGGCGUAAGGCGCGUGCAGGCGGUCUGGUAGGUUGGACGUGAAAGCUCCUGGCUUAACCAGGAGAGGCCGUUCAAAACCGCCAGACUUGAGGGCGGAAGAGGGGAGUGGAAUUCCCGGUGUAGCGGUGGAAUGCGCAGAUAUCGGGAGGAACACCCGUGGCGAAAGCGGCUCCCUGGUCCGCACCUGACGCUCAGACGCGAAAGCGUGGGGAGCGAACGGG